rnacentral:tRNA from 1 species
GGUCUGGUAGCUCAGCUGGAUAGAGCAACAGCCUUCUAAGCUGUGGGUCUUGGGUUCGAAUCCCAACCAGAUCACC